GAUGAACGCUGGCGGCGUGCCUAAUACAUGCAAGUCGAGCGAACGGACGAGAAGCUUGCUUCUCUGAUGUUAGCGGCGGACGGGUGAGUAACACGUGGAUAGCCUACCUAUAAGACUGGGAUAACUUCGGGAAACCGGAGCUAAUACCGGAUGAUAUUUUGAACCGCAUGGUUCAAAAGUGAAAGACGGUCUUGCUGUCACUUAUAGAUGGAUCCGCGCUGCAUUAGCUAGUUGGUAAGGUAACGGCUUACCAAGGCAACGAUGCAUAGCCGACCUGAGAGGGUGAUCGGCCACACUGGAACUGAGACACGGUCCAGACUCCUACGGGAGGCAGCAGUAGGGAAUCUUCCGCAAAGGUCGAAAGCCUGACGGAGCAACGCCGCGUGAGUGAUGAAGGUCUUCGGAUCGUAAAACUCUGUUAUUAGGGAAGAACAUAUGUGUAAGUAACUGUGCACAUCUUGACGGUACCUAAUCAGAAAGCCACGGCUAACUACGUG
rnacentral:rRNA from 1 species